rnacentral:rRNA from 1 species
GAAUCUUGCGCAAUGGGCGAAAGCCUGACGCAGCCAUGCCGCGUGAAUGAUGAAGGUCUUAGGAUUGUAAAAUUCUUUCACCGGGGACGAUAAUGACGGUACCCGGAGAAGAAGCCCCGGCUAACUUCGUGCCAGCAGCCGCGGUAAUACGAAGGGGGCUAGCGUUGCUCGGAAUUACUGGGCGUAAAGGGCGCGUAGGCGGAUCGUUAAGUCAGAGGUGAAAUCCCGGAGCUCAACUUCGGAAUUGCCUUUGAUACUGGCGAUCUUGAGUGUGAGAGAGGUAUGUGGAACUCCGAGUGUAGAGGUGAAAUUCGUAGAUAUUCGGAAGAACACCGAUGGCGAAGGCAACCCCCUGGGCCUGUACUGACGCUCAUGCACGAAAGCGUGGGGAGCAAACAGG